AAUUGGUUUAAUUUCAGCCAUAAAAAUAAAAGUAGGAACUUCCACAUAUAAACUUUAUUUAUUAAUUUUUAUGAAUUUACAUCUUAUAUUUAUUUAGUGGUUAAAAUUUUUAAUUUUACUUAGUAAAUCAAAGUUCUUUUUUAAAUCUAGGAUAAGUCACAGUGCCAGCAUCCGCGGUUAUUCUGUUUAGCAUUAUUUUAACAUAAUUAUAGUUUUUAUAUUAUUUUCUUUUAUUCGGUAAAAUGUAUCAAAAAGUUUAAAUUUUAUAUAAAUUUAUAAAUGUAAUGAGUCAAUAUAACAAGAAGAUUAGAUACCUUUGUAUUACUUAUAUAAUAAAUUUUAGUCAAACUAAAGAAAUUUGGCAGUCUUUUAACCUUAACUGGGGGUCGUGUGUAUUAAAGGAUGAUCCACCUAAUAAAUUACCAUAAAUUAAUGUUGGUGUACGUCUGAUUUUUUAUCAAUAUAAUAAAAUAUUGGUUUAAUUAAUAAUUAAUUUAAGUUAAGUCUAUGUGCCACUAUUUUAUGGUUUACAUUCUACACUUUAAAAAUAAUUAGGUUGUAAUAACUUAUAUAUUAAGGACUAGUGAGUAUAAUAUUAUAAAUUUUGAUUAUUAGAAAUAAGUUUAAGAGAGGUACAUACCGCCCGUCAAUUUCGGUAUAUGCUGAGAUAAGUCGUAACAUGGUAGCCCUUUGGGAACUAGGGGCUUGUAAA
rnacentral:ncRNA from 1 species